rnacentral:rRNA from 1 species
UUCGUGUGAACAGUGGUUGAUCACGAGUUAGUCGGUCCUAAGUUCAAGGCGAAAGCCGAAAAUUUUCAAGUAUAAACAGUUGUCAAAUAUUAUAUACGUUGUCAUAUUAUUUUAUAUACUUGAAUAAUUUUGAACGAAAGGGAAUACGGUUCCAAUUCCGUAACCUGUUGAGUAUCCGUUUGUUAUUAAAUAUGGGCCUCGUGCUCAUCCUGGCAACAGGAACGACCAUAAAGAAGCCGUCGAGAGAUAUCGGAAGAGUUUUCUUUUCUGUUUUAUAGCCGUACUACCAUGGAAGUCUUUCGCAGAGAGAUAUGGUAGAUGGGCUAGAAGAGCAUGACAUAUACUGUUGUGUCGAUAUUUUCUCCUCGGACCUUGAAAAUUUAUGGUGGGGACACGCAAACUUCUCAACAGGCCGUACCAAUAUCCGCAGCUGGUCUCCAAGGUGAAGAGUCUCUAGUCGAUAGAAUA